rnacentral:rRNA from 2 species
GACAGAGGGUGCAAACGUUGUUCGGAAUUACUGGGCGUAAAGCGUGUGUAGGCGGCUUUGCAAGUCGGAUGUGAAAGCCCCGGGCUCAACCCGGGAAGUGCACUCGAUACUGCAGGGCUUGAGUGUCGGAGAGGUUGGUGGAAUUCUCGGUGUAGAGGUGAAAUUCGUAGAUAUCGAGAGGAACACCGGUGGCGAAGGCGGCCAACUGGACGAACACUGACGCUGAGACACGAAAGCGUGGGGAGCAAACAGG